GCUGACUAUGCUCCAGGGGCGGGAGCUUUGUUUGUGUGUUUGAUUUAGCUCUAGAAAUGGAAUGCAACUAGCAGAAACUUGCCACGUUUGUGUUAUUCGGGUAAAAGAAAACUUCUGAAGCAAGCCCCAGUAACAGGCUUUUGUCUUUACCCUGGAGCCUCCUAUGAUCUCUCUCUAGACUCCUCCCUGGCCUUGCAUGCUGCCUUUCUGCCAACAAAGAAUUGGAAAACCUCUUAUUCAAACACCACACUGUAAAUUCCAGCUGCCUAAAAUGGUGUCAUUCUUAUUCAGGAAGAUGAGGAAGUUCUGGUGGACUAGACAUAUAGUGCCAACCGAUAGGCGCAAAUGGAACACCGGUCUCCAAUAGGACCAUCUGAGCUUGGACUUCUGCAUCCUCGCUAUCAGCACCAGGACUGUUACUCUGGAUGUAAACUGGAGGGCAUCUACUAGAGGGAGAGAUUACAGUGGACAACUGACUGACUUUUCAACUG